UACGAAGGUCCCAAGCGUUAUCCGGAUUUACUGGGUUUAAAGGGUGUGUAGGCGGACUUUUAAGUCCGUGGUGAAAUCUCCGGGCUCAACCCGGAAACUGCCAUGGAUACUAUUGGUCUUGAAUGUUGUUGAGGUGGGCGGAACGGGUCAUGUAGCGGUGAAAUGCAUAGAUAUGACCCGGAACACCGAUUGCGAAGGCAGCCCACUAAGCAAUGAUUGACGCUGAGGCACGAAAGCGUGGGGAUCAAACAGG
rnacentral:rRNA from 1 species